UGGAGCGACACGCCUCUCAGGGAAGCCGGGCUUGCUCUGUCUGAUUCUCACGAGGGCGUGCAGGGAGCGUGGCUGGUGUUUUCCCGGGAUGCCCACCCGUGUGACAGCAGCAGCCCGCAGUGGCAGAGAGGACAGAAGCGACUUUGGAAGGAGCAGCUCCUCUCUCUUUGCUUCCUUCCUCACAGUUGUUCCUCUUUCUCUGACUUUGUAUGGCUGGCUAUAGACUAUGGAACUACGGAACAAGACUUCCUGGGCUUGAAAUCUAAUUCUGCCACUUACUAGUCGUGAUACAGGACAAGUUUAUUAAUGGCUUUGUGCAUCAGUUUACUCAUCUGUAAAAUGGGAACAGCAAUAUUCAGAGUCCCACGAGUAAUUCCCUUCCGUGAAAUCCGAGCUUCCUCCUUGACAGUGUGCGUCGCUUGGGCAUUCAGAGCAGACUCUGUACACUGAACUCUUUUCUGAGACGUAAUUAAGGAUUUUGAGAUGGAGAGAAUAUUCUGGAUUAUCCAGGUGGGCUCAAUGUUAACACAGGAUCCUUACAAGGAGGACAUAGGAAGAAUCAGACUCAGGAAAAGGAAACUGUGUCCAUAGGAGCAGACUUUGGAAUGAUGUGCCUUGAAGACGGAGGAAGGGCCACGAGCCCCAGAACGCGGCCCCUCUGGAAGCCGCAGAAGGCGAGGCGACCGGUUCUCCCUGGACCUCCCUGCAGGGGGAGCCCGGCUCUGCCGACAAGGGCCGCUGUUUUUAAGUCACUAAAUUCGUGAUAAUUAAAACCUUUAAUUUCUUAUCUCUAAAGUAAAUGCUAUACAACAAAUGUUUAUUAUCAGGUAUUAUUUUACCUGGAAGAUACAGCAUGGAAUAUCACAAAUCCCCUGCCAUCAGGAAAUUUGCCUUAUA